CCCUGUUAUAAAGAUUCGUGCUUCGUGCAUGUUAUUUUUGACAGAAUAACUAAAGAAAGUUUCCAUUUUAUUACACUACAACGUUCUCGCAACUAUAUUAUGAAUAUGAAACUGUCAAUCGAACAUGUGCACUUCCGGUGCAGACAUGAUGUUAUAAAAUAUAUAAAUAUCAACUGUUUCUCGCACAUCCUAACGCUUUAAACCUCCAAAACCAUACGCGGUAUGAGGAGUAUCGUUAAGAUGAAGUUCUGAGAAUUUCAGAACUCUUUCGCCUCCAAGAGAUAACAUAUUUAUACCUAUAAUCAAAUUUCUCAUGAGAGUGAAACGCCAUUUUUGUAUAAUCGUCCGUGUUUGUAUAUUUUAAACUCCAAUGUAAAAUAAAAGAUGUAUGCUUUCAAACAUGCAUCAAACCUCGACUUUUAGUUCCACAAGCGAAACUUUUAGUUAUACAGUACAUAGCCAUACGGCAUAGCCAUAGGCGAAACUAAUAUUGUUUUGCCGCGUUUAAUGGUUGUAAAACUUUUAAAAUGGAUAAAAGUUUAGUAUUUUCGACUUUCAACCCUCGACUUUUGACCCUCGACCUCGACUUUUGACCCUCGACGUAUGACCCUCGACCCUCGACCUAUGACCCUCGACACUCGACCAUUACCCAAACUCAAUGUAAUGUAAUGACUAAUGUAAUGACUAAUGUAAUGACUAAUGUAAUGACUAAUGUAAUGACUAAUGUAAUGACUAAUGUAAUGACUAAUGUAAUGACUAAUGUAAUGACUAAUGUAAUGACUAAUGUAAUGACUAAUGUAAUGACUAAUGUAAUGACUAAUGUGAUGACUAAUGUAAUGACUAAUGUAAUGACUAAUGUAAUGUAAGGGACGGACCAUUAGAAAAGUGAUGGGGGUGGGUGGGGCAAAACCAAAAAAAAAAUUUAUUCCCAGAAAAAAAUUAAGAAAAAAAAAAUCUUUCCAGGCAUAGUGCAAAAAAAAAGAUCCUUGCCUAGAAGAUAGGCCAAGUGGUGUACUGGAGGGAGGGCUCAGGGAGGCUGAGCCCCCUUGUUGAAAUUUCAUGUCAAAUCUUCCCCAAAGUCCAGGAAAUGGCAUUUCAGAGACUCUAAAUUUAAAAAUUUCCUUGGGCCUUCGGCCCUCGCUUCGGCUUGUUUUUAAUAAGAAUAACGUCAAAUGUUUGUCCCAGAAUUACUAGAAUAUACCCCAACAAAAUUUAGAAUUUCCAAAAUAUCUUAUUGUACCUCCCCUCCCCUCCCGCCAAUUCAGGGCACUUUGGAGAGCCCCCCUUGUUAACAUUCCAGGACUACACUACUAAUAUGCCUAUAAAUUUCACUUAAAGGGGCCCUACAGUCAUUUUUUAGUCGAAAGCCAGCUUAAGUAGGGGACUCCACAGAGAUUCGUUUGGCUGUAUCUUACAUGCAGUAUCCAUGAGUAUGAGUACUUUUGCACACCAGAAAAUGCAUGCAUACUGUGGUGCGCAUGUCAAAUAGAGACAAUAACAAAAACAUGUAAACAAUACUUACUGGACUAAAAAAUUACUGUGGGGCCCCUUUAAAAAAAAAAUAUUUCCAACCGUCAAGUGAGAAAAAAAAAAUUCUUCUAUAGGUGUACAAAAAAAAAUAUUGCCUCCUAGAAAAUCCCCCCCCCCCAUCACUUUUCUAAUGGUCCGUCCCUAAUGUAAUUAAUGUAAUGUAACGUAACGUAACGUAAUGUAAUGUAAUGUCUGUUUUACUAGGGAAAAAUUGAGAGAUUUCACUUAAAUAUAUAUCUAGUAUAUAACCAAGUUAAUUGCAGUAGUGACAAACGGC
rnacentral:lncRNA from 1 species